UAGGGAAUAUUGGACAAUGGGCGCAAGCCUGAUCCAGCAAUGCCGCGUGAGUGACGAAGGCCCUCUGGGUUGUAAAACUCUUUUAUUAGGGAAGAUAAUGACGGUACCUAAUGAAUAAGCACCGACUAACCACGUGCCAGCAGUCGCGGUAAUACGUGGGGUGCGAGCGUUGCUCGGAAUUACUGGGCGUAAAGCAGAUGCAGGUGGUUUUAUAAGUUGGGAGUGCAAUCCCUGGGCUUAACCCAGGAACUGCUCCCAAAACUGUAAGGCUAGAGUAUGGUAGGGGAUAGUAGAAUUCUUAGUGUAGGGGUAAAAUCCAUAGAUAUUAAGAGGAAUACCAGAAGCGAAAGCGGCUAUCUGGGCCAUAACUGACACUCAGAUCUGACAGCGUGGGGAGCAA
rnacentral:rRNA from 1 species